UUAAAGGUUGAAGAAAAGGAGAAGCACAAAAGCAAUAAAAUGGCAGCAUCAGAAAACCUAUGUGAUGGUGCUGGUGAUGACAGUGACGAUGACGCAUUACUUCAAGAAAGAAAGAGUAGAAAAACUGACAGUUGGCAAUUUCCUAGGAUGGAGAAUGAAGUGUGUGAUAGAUUUUGUUAUCCUAUUGAAAAUGCAAGAUGCCAUUCUUUCCCAGCAAAGAUUAGUAGAACUUAAAAGCAAUGAGUGUGAAAGACUCACAAUAAAAAUUGGAAAAAUGGAAAACGAGGUUAGCGUUCUGCAAGAUGAGCUCUAUGAAGCCAAAAAAAUAAUGUCACAGUUAAAUUAUGAAAAAGCCGUAUGGGAAUGUGAACUCUCUACUUUGAGAUGUACCUUAAAAGAAGAAGGAGAGAAGAGAAGAAAUGCUGAUCUGUUACAUGAAAACACUCGAGAAGAGAUAAGAAAAAAGGAAGAGGAAUGCAGGAAAGAAGUUGAAAUGAAACAACAAGCUGAAGAGUCUGUCAAAACACUGAAUGCAGAAAUGAAUAUAUUAAGAAACUAUUUGUCUGAGCUUGCAGAAAAGUACAACGAGAGUCAGAGGCAGCUAUAUGGAGAGCGGAAUGCCAGACAAUUACAAGGUUGGAUUCUGGCCAAUCAACUUUACACACAAACUGAAACAGAAAUGACUCUGAGGGAAAUGGAAUCUCAGAUUUGUCAGAGUUAUGAAAAAGAACGAUUUCUCAUGUGUACAAAUGACAUGUUGCAUGAAGAAAUAGCCAUGCUACAAAUGGAAAUAGCCACAAUAAAAUAUCAGAAUGAGGAAAAAGAAAAUAAGUAUAUCAACCACAUUAAAAUUGUGGAAGAAGUGAAUGAGAACCUUCAAAUGACCAUGAAAAAGAAUGUGGAAAAGUUAACAGACACAGUAUCUCAGUAUAGUGACCAGCUUAAUGCUCUGGCAUGUGAGAAUGCCUUGCUAAAUGCUCAACUACAAAAUGAAAAAGAGAGCAAGGAACAACUGCAAGCAGAACUUGCAUCCUGCAGUUCUAGACUGACUGCUGCAAUACAUGAUCAAUACGUUGAUCAAAUUCUGAUGUCAGGAAGAGACGUCGAAAUGUCUUUCCAGAGAGCAGGACAUGAGUGGUUUUGCUUACGGAAUGAAAUAAAUGUACCUGUGUCUGAUCUCAAAGAAAACCAUGAGACUUUUGGUCAAAACUGUUCUAAGGCUCAAAGUCAAAUCGGUAGCCUGGAAGAUGAGUUCCAUAGCACAAGAAAUGUUCUGAGAGAUAAGACUCUGUCUUUGGAAUGUGUCCAAAGACACCUCUACCAAACAGAAUGUCAAAUGGAAAAGAUCAAUCAAAUGUAUGAAAAUGAACAAUAUCAAGUGAAGAAAUACAUUGGACAACAGGAAUAUCUAGAGGAGAGAAUAUCUGAACUAGAAAGAGGAAAUAUGUUGCUUCGAGAGCAACUGGUGUACGCUCACAGCAGAGCAGAGCAUAAAGAGGAGACACUGAUGAAUAUGCGAGAGCAAUUUCAAGAUACUGUGAAAAACCUUCUAGCUGAGAACGGAAAGCAAACCCGUCUGCUAGAAGAUAGAAUUAAGCAGUUAAUCGGUGAAUGCAAUCAGUUGAAAGAAAGGCUGUAUCAAAAUGAAAAAGGGAAACCAGAAGAAGCACAAGCAGCAUCGGAAGAAUACAGACGACAGUUGAGAGAGAAUCAUCUGGCUGCAAUAAGCAGUCAGAGGGAAUUCAGAAUGAAUAAUCUUGAAUCCCAAGUCUCCAAUAUGACAACUGCUCCAGAAGAUUUUCAUUGUAUUGAACUGGAAAAAUAUAAACACUUCUAUCAAUUAGAGUUAGAAGACAGAAAAUACUUGCCAAAGAAACUAAAAAUAGCUACUGAGAGGCCAGCAGCGUUCAGUAGCAGUCUUGUUGCAGAGACACAGGAGACCAGAAGUUUCUCUGGCCCUUGUACAAUGAGCACAGAGUCAGCUUCUGCUGGAACUGUUGUUGAUGGGUUAGGUCUUCACAGAGAAUUUCCUGGAAGAGAAUACUCACUGUUUUCUUCUUCCUGCCCAUGGACUUUAGAUACCAGCUUGAAGAAUAACUUGAGUGAGAUGGGAAAUAGAAGAUGAGCUCCUUCGUUGGUGCCAGUAAUACCAGCAGGCAAGAACAUCAGAGCACGGCUGCUUCUGUUCAGUGGAUAUGAAGUAGAUAAUCUGCUCCCCGAUGGACUCCACUGAAACCAUCCUGGUAUUUCAUUGCAGUUGGGUGGGUAUUGCCAGCAAGGUUUUCUGCUGUUAGACCAUUCUUUUCCAAUCCUUUGGUUGGGAGAGCAGGCUUCUUGUUUUGUUUUGUCUGUGCCACUUAGUGGUCCUGAUUGGAGGCUUCCGCAGCACUCUCUCCAGAGCAUAUGGGAAGAAAUUGAGGACCCAAGGAGCUCAUCAUUGUGUUAUUCCCCACACCACAGGAUUUUUGCGCUUUCAAUGUGGUGAAGUUGAACACUAUAAGUGAGAGAUUGAAGAAAGCACAAGAAAGGUAUUGUAGAAAAAUUCAAACAAGUCAAUCUAUUUUUACAGGCACAAGCAGCAUCUGAAGAAUACAGAGAACUUCACUUAGAAGUCAGAUGGAACUCAGAAUGAAAGAUCUUGAAUCUGAAGUCUCCAACAGGAAAACUUCUUGAGAAGUCUUUCAUUAUAUUGAAUUGGGAAAAUACAAGCACCUCUAUCAAUUAGAAUUGGAAGCUAGAAAAUACUUGUCAAACAAAAUUAAAAAUCUUCACAGAACUACUGAGAGACUAGCAGCAUUCAGUAGCAAUCUUUUUGUGGAGACAGGAGACCAGAACUUUCUUUACCACUCAUGGACAGUCCUAUAGUCACCUCCUGGUGGCAAUCUUAAUAAUGGUUUAGGUCUUCACAGAGAAUUUACUUCAAAAGAAUACUCAACGUUCUCUUUUUCCUGCCCAUGGACUUCACAUACCGGCAUGAAGAACAACUUGAGUGAGAUGCUGCUGGAUAUUCUCCUGUGGAAGAGCUUCUUCUCUAGAUUCACUGAUGAGUCAAAUCUAAAUGAAGACAUUCUUUAGAAAGCAUCAUGGAAAUAUGUGCCAAUUUUUUUUUAAAAAAAAUAUACAAUGUGAAAGACUUUUAAGUAGGUCUUGCAAAUGAAAGCCAGUUUUACAUCCUCAGACUGCCAAAAUGUUAGCUGUUUAUAAUUUUAAUUUUAAGCACUGAUUUAUAUGACUCUUUCUUCUUGGAGAAAUAAAAUUUGCCUAAGGCU